rnacentral:rRNA from 1 species
GUGGGGAAUCUUCCACAAUGGACGAAAGUCUGAUGGAGCAACGCCGCGUGAGUGAAGAAGGGUUUCGGCUCGUAAAGCUCUGUUGUCGGGGACGAAUGUGCAGUAUUUGAAUAAAGUACUGUAAUGACGGUACCUGACGAGGAAGCCACGGCUAACUACGUGCCAGCAGCCGCGGUAAUACGUAGGUGGCAAGCGUUGUCCGGAAUUAUUGGGCGUAAAGGGAGCGCAGGCGGGAAGGUAAGUCGGUCUUAAAAGUGCGGGGCUCAACCCCGUGAUGGGAUCGAAACUAUCUUUCUUGAGUGCAGGAGAGGAAAGUGGAAUUCCUAGUGUAGCGGUGAAAUGCGUAGAUAUUAGGAGGAACACCAGUGGCGAAGGCGACUUUCUGGACUGUGACUGACGCUGAGAUGCGAAAGCCAGGGGAGCGAACGGGAUUAGAUACCCUUGUAGUCC